UCCAGCAGCCAAGUCACCCUGCAACUCACAUCUGGCAACCCACUGAAGCUAAGCAGGUGUGAGCCUGGUCAGUACUUGGAUGUGAGACCUCUUGACAAAAAAAAGGUUGCUGCUGGAA
rnacentral:rRNA from 1 species